rnacentral:rRNA from 1 species
CCUACGGGAGGCAGCAGUGGGGAAUAUUGGACAAUGGGGGGAACCCUGAUCCAGCGACGCCGCGUGAGUGAAGAAGUAUUUCGGUAUGUAAAGCUCUAUCAGCAGGGAAGAAAGAAAUGACGGUACCUGACUAAGAAGCCCCGGCUAACUACGUGCCAGCAGCCGCGGUAAUACGUAGGGGGCAAGCGUUAUCCGGAUUUACUGGGUGUAAAGGGAGCGUAGACGGCGAUGCAAGUCUGAAGUGAAAGGCUGGGGCUCAACCCCUGGACUGCUUUGGAAACUGUAUGGCUGGAGUGCAGGAGAGGUAAGCGGAAUUCCUAGUGUAGCGGUGAAAUGCGUAGAUAUUAGGAGGAACACCAGUGGCGAAGGCGGCUUACUGGACUGUAACUGACGUUGAGGCUCGAAAGCGUGGGGAGCAAACAGGAUUAGAUACCCUAGUAGUC